AUUGAACGCUGGCGGCAGGCCUAACACAUGCAAGUCGAGCGGAUGAAGGGAGCUUGCUCCUGGAUUCAGCGGCGGACGGGUGAGUAAUGCCUAGGAAUCUGCCUGGUAGUGGGGGAUAACGUCCGGAAACGGGCGCUAAUACCGCAUACGUCCUGAGGGAGAAAGUGGGGGAUCUUCGGACCUCACGCUAUCAGAUGAGCCUAGGUCGGAUUAGCUAGUUGGUGGGGUAAAGGCCUACCAAGGCGACGAUCCGUAACUGGUCUGAGAGGAUGAUCAGUCACACUGGAACUGGGACACGGUCCAGACUCCUACGGGAGGCAGCGGUGGGGAAUUUUGGACAAGGGGCGAAAGCCUGACCCAGCCAUGCCGCGUGUGGGAAGAAGGUCUUCGGAUUGUAAAGCACUUUAAGUUGGGAGGAAGGGAAGUAAGUUAAGACCUUGUUGUUUUGGCGUUACCAACAGAAUAAGCCCCGGCUAACUUCGU
rnacentral:rRNA from 1 species